AGGACGAACGCUGGCGGCGUGCCUAAUACAUGCAAGUCGAGCGGUAAGGUCCCUUCGGGGAUACACGAGCGGCGGACGGCUGAGUAACGCGUAGGAACGUACCCCAAAGUGAGGGAUAAGCUCUGGAAACAGAGUCUAAUACCGCAUGUGGUCCAAGGAUUAAAGCUUCGGCGCUUUGGGAACGGCCUGCGUCCGAUUAGCUAGUUGGUGAGGUAAAGGCUUACCAAGGCGACGAUCGGUAGCUGGUCUGAGAGGAUGAUCAGCCAGACUGGGACUGAGACACGGCCCAGACUCCUACGGGAGGCAGCAGUAGGGAAUUUUCCACAAUGGGCGAAAGCCUGAUGGAGCAACGCCGCGUGCAGGAUGAAGGCCUUAGGGUUGUAAACUGCUUUUAUAUGUGACGAUUAUGACGGUAGCAUAUGAAUAAGGAUCGGCUAACUCCGUGCCAGCAGCCGC
rnacentral:rRNA from 1 species